rnacentral:lncRNA from 1 species
GGGCUAACUCUCCCAACGGGCAUUUUUUCCAUCCACAAGACUCGAACCCGAAUUCUUGCUUAAGGGGAAUCAAGCAUGUCCCACUUGAACCAACGUCCGUUGGUAAAGCUUCUUGAAUGUAAUUAUGCCACACAAACCUAAUAUGUUGAACCACCAUCACAACAAGUAAACCUAUAGAACUUGCUCGUCAUCAAAAUCACUUGCAUGAGUGUUCUUUGCAACAUUAAUAUGGGGUUGUUUGGCUGUUAUUGUUGCUUAUGAGGAAAGUGGCUUUAUUGACUCCAUAAGAACGUGUCUAUGGCUGUCAAAGAAGAACCUGACCUAAGCAUAGAAGAGUUUAUAUCCUUCAUACUUCACUCUCAUGAAUUAGAAUUUCACUAAAGCCAUUGACGUGUCUAAAAUUUUAUUGACAAUGUAUAUUGUAAUGUUGUAAAUGUUACAUAGAAUUUGUGAUACGAAGUGUGUGGCCAAUCUUCGUUUCUUCUAAUGAGGAUGGGUUUGGAAAAUUUUGAUUCUGACUUCUUUCUUUUACGCCUUCUCCG